CAAUAGCGUAUAUUAAAGUUGUUGCGGUUAAAAAGCUCGUAGUUGGAUUUCUGUUAGGGACGACCGGUCCGCACUAUGUGCGUGUAUCUGGCUCGGCCUUGGCAUCCUCCUGGGGAACGGUGCUGCGCUUGAUUGCGUGGUCCGGUAUUCAGGACUUUUACUUUGAGGAAAUUAGAGUGUUUACGGCAGGCAAUCGCCUUGAAUAUAUUAGCAUGGAAUAAUACUAUAGGACCUUGGUCUAUUUUGUUGGUUUCUAGGGCCGAAGUAAUGAUUAAGAGGGACAAUUGGGGGCAUCCGUAUUUCGUUGUCAGAGGUGAAAUUCUUGGAUUUACGAAAGACGAACAACUGCGAAAGCACUUGCCAAGAGUGUUUUCAUUAAUCAAGAACGAAAGUUAGAGGAUCGAAGACGAUUAGAU
rnacentral:rRNA from 1 species